AGCUCCGCGAGUGGUCGGGACGAUUAUUGGGCCUAAAGCGUCCGUAGCCGGCCUAACAAGUCUCUGGUUAAACUUCAAGGCUUAACCUUGAGAUUGCUGGAGAUACUGUUAGGCUAGGAGGCGGGAGAGGUUGAGGGUACUUCACGGGUAGGGGCGAAAUCCUAUAAUCCGUGAAGGACCACCAGUGGCGAAGGCGCUCAACUGGAACGCGCUCGACGGUGAGGGACGAAAGCCAGGGGAGUAAAGG
rnacentral:rRNA from 1 species